rnacentral:rRNA from 1 species
GACGAACGCUGGCGGCGUGCUUAACACAUGCAAGUCGAACGAUGAAACCUAGCUUGCUAGGUCGAUUAGUGGCGAACGGGUGAGUAACACGUGACUAACCUGCCCCUUUCUCUGGGAUAACGCUCCGAAAGGAGUGCUAAUACCGGAUACUCACAUCGAGGCACAUGCCUUGGUGUGGAAAGUUUUUCGGAAAGGGAUGGAGUCGCGGCCUAUCAGCUUGUUGGUGAGGUAACGGCUCACCAAGGCGACGACGGGUAGCCGGCCUGGGAGGGCGACCGGCCACACUGGGACUGAGACACGGCCCAGACUCCUACGGGAGGCAGCAGUGGGGAAGAUUGCACAAUGGGCGCAAGCCUGAUGCAGCGACGCCGCGUGAGGGAUGAAGGUCUUCGGAUUGUAAACCUCUUUCAGUAGGGACGAAGCGAAAGUGACGGUACCUAAAGAAGAAGCACCGGCUAACUACGUGCCAGCCGCCACGGUAA